rnacentral:rRNA from 1 species
GUCUACGGCCAUACCACGUUGAAAGCACCAGUUCUCGUCCGAUCACUGAAGUUAAGCAACGUCGGGCUCGGUUAGUACUUGAAUGGGUGACCGCCUGGGAACACCGAGUGCUGUAGACUCCU